AAUAAACGUAAAAAAUAUUGUUAAAAGAAAAUUUAGCUUUGAAGGACAGUGGGUUAGAAUUUAGUAUAAAUUAAACACAAAACAAUUUUCAGAUAUGUUAUUUUAUGCAUAUAUUAAAUUUUUUAGUAACUAAAUACAAACACAAUAAGAUAAAUAUAUAAUAAGAAGCGAAAAAUGCAUGUAACGAUCUUAAACAAUUCAUUAAUUAUAACAUAUAAACUAUGAAAUUAUUGUAUUUGAAAUACUUAUAUAAAUAUUUAUAUAUAUGAUUAACGUUAAAAAUGUAUACCACCAAUGAUCUAAAAUAAAUAUCUAUGUAUAUAAAUUGAAAAAAUAUCCGCGCGGGUGUGCGGGUCAAAAUCUAGUUCCUCCAUUAAACGAUUGUUUUCUCGUUUUUAAAUCGUGGUUUUUGUUUAUAUUGAAUUAUGUAUAAUAUUUUAUCAAAUGUAUGGUGUUGGUACGUUCAUUCCAAAGAAGUUGAACGUUUUGAAUUGAUGAUUGACAUCUUCUAAGAGUAUGUUAUGGUUAAAGAUUGAUCCAGAGUCUCCAUUUUCUGCCAACCUUCCUGAUUAAUAAAGAAAAGUAAAAAACCUCUUAUAACUUUUUGUCAAACAAAACCUCGUAUAAUUUUUAUAUCGUCGAAUGUUUUGAGUUUAUCAACUAAAACAUAGGUAAAAGUAUACAAGAUGAUUAAAUUAAGGGAAAUUUGGCAAAAAGGAACAAAACAACUAUACUCUUGUCCCUUAGAAUUUAAACCAAAAUCAUUGUCCCUAUAGUAUAAACAAUAAUGAAAAUCCAAUUUUGCCAUUUUCUUUAAAAUACAGUUAAUAAAAUUAACAUUUUACUUUAAUGAAAUAAGAAAUAUAAAGUAAAAAAAAAAACAGAACUCUAUCGUCGUCUCCAACUUCUUUCUCAAUCAAAAAGGCGAUUUCGUUUUAGCCGUCAGACACCUUCUUUCUCUGGCCCGUCUAAGUUCGUCGGAAAGCUUCAACUCACCGUCACAUCUCUUUGUCGUCCUCCUUCUUUUGUCUUUCCUCUUUGAGAACCACCGAUUACAAUCACUUUGUAAUCUCCGCCGAUUACAAUCGGAGUUGUUCAAUCUUCUUAGUUCUUUCUUAGGGUUUCAAUUUGGGAGAUUUUUAGGUUUGGGUUUCGAUUUGUCUUGACUAUCUAUUUCUGUGUCUAUGGGUUUUGAUUUUGGUUGCCAAUAUGUUUUGUUCGUAGGGUUUUGAUUUUCGUUGACUAUUUGUCUCUGUUGCUGUAUCAAGAGUCUUGAUUAUGACUAUCUUGACAAUUUGUUCCUGUCUUGAGUCUCUGUUUUUGUACCUGAUUAAUCUUUUCUCUGGUCUUCACUAUAAGGUUUAUCUUGUAUUUGAUUUAUCUUGCCGCUGGUCUUGACUAUCUUAUUUAUAUUGUCUAUGUGUUAUAGUCUUGUUAUAGUAGCUAAUUUAUAUUGUUAAUAAUUUCUGUGUUACGAUUUUGUUUCUCUUUGUAAUGGUUCUUUGAGUUAUGAGGCCAAUGGAGGAGGAGAGAGCUCGGAGACAGUGGCUGCAGGAUGAUAUGUUGUUGUAUAGAGGUUUUAUGAAGGUUAAGGAGAGGCGCUGCGCAGUUAAGGAGCGUAUCAGUAAAAUGAGUCAAGGGUUGUCUUUAAGGUUCUGCGUUUUUGGAACCAAAACCAGAAGGGCAACAAGGAGCUUAUGAUGAUGAGGACCUGGAACACUUAUCAGUUUUCAGGUGAGGUUACUAUGAUAGUAUAAUUUGUUCUGAAUUUAUCUUUGUUCUUUACAGAGGAGUUGUUGUGUCAGAAGAACAUUAGUGGUGGUGU